UACAAAAUAACAAGAGUUACGAUAUAGUAUUAAAUCGUGGUAUUUACGAAGUCAAUUUGACGAUAUACUUUACUGUAAUAAAUUUAACAGAUGCCGACAACAAUUACAUUUACUAUUCUAGUGUUACGUAUGAUGGAAGGAAAUUUAAUAACACAGUGUUCCAGUUAUAUUUUGGGGGACCUAACGAAGAGCCCAAAAAUAAGUCGUGUUCGUAUCAUUAUAAGAUAAAUUGGAAAAAUAGUGAUAUGCUAAGAAAACGUCAAAGGAUCGCCGCUAAAAUUGUUAGACCCGAAAAAACCUUAAAUCUGCUAAAACUAUGAUUAAAAUAAGUUUGUCCAAAAGAAAGAAAAAAACAUGGUAGGUACAAAAAUCUUAAAAGAAAAAAUUACAUGAAAAUCUUCAGAUAGUGAAGAUAAAGAGCACCUUUGCGACAACGGCAGUGACGACAAAAUGAAUGUGGAUGAUAUAAAUUAUAACAAAUGUAUUAUUUAAUAGGAAUUUGUAAAAAAAAAUAAUUCUGGUAUCGCUGCACCAUCUGCGGACUGUGGGCUCACGCUACAUGCUCAGGGUGGGAUUCGCAAUUAGAUACAUACGUGAUUUAAAUAUCCAAGGAUAAAAUAUUUUUAUUUCUAAUUUGUCUUACCUCUAAUAAUAAUAAUUAUUUCAUGUUAUAUUACAAUAAUUGAAGUUGAUUUGACAUCUAAGCCUGUACUAUAUUUAUUCAAAUGAAAAAGGCUAAUUUUAUAUAGAAAUGGAGAUAAUUGAGGAUUGUAGAUUUUACUUUUAUUAUAUAAGA